GGGUCAGUAGGUUGGUCGUGCCACCGGUACGUACUGGUCUCACUGAUUCCUCCUUCCUGAAGAACCGUAAUGCCAUUAAUUUGGUGUUGCGGGGAAACAGGACUGUUACUUUGAAAAAAUUAGAGUGUUUAAAGCAAGCUAACGCUUGAAUACAUUAGCAUGGAAUAAUGAAAUAGGACGAUCGAUCCUAUUUUGUUGGUUCCUUGGAUUGACGUA
rnacentral:rRNA from 1 species